rnacentral:lncRNA from 1 species
AGCAUGGCAGAAUUCCCAGCACAUUUCAAGGAUCAGAUGUCCACAUCCGAGAUGAACCCAGCCCUUGGUGUUCAAAAUCACUUUAAGGGGAAGUAGAGCUUUUUCUUUCAUGUACCUGGACCAGUAGUUCACUUACUCUGAAAGUCAAGAGGCCCCAUGGACUGCCCAGCCCAGCUGCUGUGGAAUGUGGCAGAGAAAGAGGGUGAGAGGGCCUGGAUGACUCCCAUGCUGGGAGUAUUAUGCAAACGUGGGAGAAAAAAACAUGCUUCCUCUCCUGGCCUACAGGAGCGCUUGAAAGCCUGCUCAUCUGCAAGCCCUAGGGCUGGACUCUACAUCACAGCAGUGGAUACUCCAUCUCCAUUGAGAACCCGAUGACUGAGCCCAAUCCUGG